GGGGUUGUGACUCAGUGCUCGAGCGCUAACCUCGCAUGCUGGAGGCCCUGGGUUCCAAUCCCAGCACCACUA
rnacentral:tRNA from 1 species